rnacentral:lncRNA from 10 species
AAUGAAGGAGUGGUGAAGCCAAUCAGCAAUUCCUAAAGCGAUACUCCAAAAAGAUGGAGGAAGAGGCCAGGAGCUAAGGAAUCCAGGCCAUCUCUAGAAGAUGGAAAAGACAAGGAAGCAGAGUCAUCCCUAGAGGGAUCCAGAGGGAACAUGGCCCUGCUGACAACUUAAUUUCAGUCGAGUGAAACUUAUUUGGGACUUCUGACUUCAGAACUGUAAAAUUAUAAAUUUGUCUUGUCUUAAACCACUAAAUAGAUUUGUUACAGAGAAAAUAGGAAACUAAUUCACC